UACGUAGGUGGCAAGCGUUAUCCGGAAUUACUGGGCGUAAAGCGCACGCAGGCGGUCUUUUACGUUUGACGUGAAAGCUCCCGGCUUAACUGGGAGAGGUCGUUGAAGACUGGAAGACUUGAGGCAAUGAGAGGGGUGUAGAAUUCCCGGUGUAGUGGUGGAAUGCGUAGAUAUCGGGGGGAAUACCAGUGGCGAAAGCGGCACCCUAGCGUUAGCCUGACGCUCAUGUGCGAAAGCGUGGGGAGCGAACGGG
rnacentral:rRNA from 1 species